AGUGAACGCUGGCGGUAGGCCUAACACAUGCAAGUCGAACGGCAGCACAGUAAGAGCGUGCCCUUACGGGUGGCGAGUGACGGGCGGGUGAGGAGUACAUCGGAAUCUACUUUUUCGGGGGGGAUAACGGAGGGAAACUUACGCUAAUACCGGAUACUAUCUACGGGUGAAAUCAGGGGAGCUUGGGACUUUGGCCGUUUCAAUUAGCCGAUGUCGGAUUAGCUAGUUGGCUAGGUAAAGGCCCACCAAGGCGACGAUCCGUAGCUGGUCUGAGAGGAUGAUCAGCCACACUGGAACUGAGACACGGUCCAGACUCCUACGGGAGGCAGCAGUGGGGAAUAUUGGACAAUGGGCGCAAGCCUGAUCCAGCCAUGCCGCGUGAGUGAAGAAGGUCUUCGGGUCGUAAAGCUCUUUUAUUGGGGAAGAAAAGCUGUAUAUUAAUCCCCCGCUGUUCUGACGGUACCCAAAGAGUAAGCAACGGCUAACUUCGUG
rnacentral:rRNA from 1 species